AGGUGUGAUCAUACCAGCACUAAAACACCGGAUCCUAUCAGAACUCCGUAAUCAAGUGUGCUUGGGCGAGAGUAGUACUAGGACGGGUGGCCUCCUAGGAAAUCCUCAUGUUGCACCUC